CCUACGGGUGGCAGCAGUGAGGAAUAUUGGUCAAUGGACGAGAGUCUGAACCAGCCAAGUAGCGUGAAGGAUGACUGCCCUAUGGGUUGUAAACUUCUUUUAUAUGGGAAUAAAAUGUUCCACGUGUGGGAUUUUGUAUGUACCAUAUGAAUAAGGAUCGGCUAACUCCGUGCCAGCAGCCGCGGUAAUACGGAGGAUCCGAGCGUUAUCCGGAUUUAUUGGGUUUAGGGGGAGCGUAGGUGGAUUGGUAAGUCAGUUGUGAAAGUUUGCGGCUCAACCGUAAAAUUGCAGUUGAAACUGGCAGUCUUGAGUACAGUAGAGGUGGGCGGAAUUCGUGGUGUAGCGGUGAAAUGCUUAGAUAUCACGAAGAACUCCGAUUGCGAAGGCAGUUCACUGGACUGCAACUGACACUGAGGCUCGAAAGUGUGGGUAUCAAACAGGAUUAGAUACCCGAGUAGUC
rnacentral:rRNA from 1 species